ACUGCCAGGCACCCCGAGCCGUCUGCAGCCCGCGGGGCUCCCCGGGGUCGCGCCCUUCGCCGUUCGGUGCGGCCGAGGGCAGGAGAGGCACCUUUCCCGGGCAGCCGCGCUGCCCCAGCCCGGCUCUGCCCGGCGAGCACCGCCCCGCCGCCCCGCAGCCGAGCUCCGCAAAGCCUCCGCCCGCCCCGCCGCCCUGCCCGGGAAGACCAGGCGGGGCUGCGCAGGCGCGCCCGGGCUGGAGGAACGGCGGGCCGGGCCGGGGCCUCCGCGGAGCCCCGGGGCCGGUGCUGCGCAGGGUGGGGUGGCCGCGGGGCUGGGCAGCCCUUCGUGCCUCACCCGCGGGCCCGGGCCGGCAGCGGUGGGACGUGUCAAACGGAGCGAAGCGGAGGGGCGGCUGGGAAGCCCCGAAGCCUCAGGAGGGCCCCGGGGAGGUGGUGUCGGGCGAGCUGCCAUAACCGUGCUCGGUGGCAGCUCGGUGCCUUCGGGUCUCGGGGAAACCUGCGAAGGCUUUGCUCAGAGAUGGGUUGGAGCCACCACGGGCCGGGCUUCAUGGAAUCAUAGAACCAUUUUGGUUGGAAGAGACCCUCAAGAUCAUCGAGUCCAACCAUAACCUAGCUCUGGCACUGAACCAUGUCCCUAAGAACCUCGUCUAUACAGCUUUUAACCCCUCCAGCGCUCCUGUUGGUUUGUCACCCAGAUGUCAGGAAUUUGGUGUAAUUCAGCCCUCCUUCAGGAGAGAGAGAAUCCCCCAAAUACGCAUGCUAUUGGUGGGUGUCUGAAGAGCUUCUGUUGCCGAAGCACGGGUGAGGACUGUGGAUAAAGGGCAGCAUGAACACAGCUGCUGCACUUGCCUUUUCAUGCUGCCAAGAGCAGGAGUCCAGUGGAACUAAUGGACAAAAAAGUUCAAGUAUACUGAUUCACAAGAGCACAGUGUGGUCAUGAUAAACUUUGUGGCAUGGUUAAUUUCUUAAUAGUGUGCUGGGUUGCUUGAUUUUUAAAUCAAUUAAUUAGGAAACAUCAUUCACAAAGCUUGCUGGGAUGGUGGGAUUAAUUAAGGAAGUGCUGAUGGUUACACAGAUUUUGGUUUUAUAGCUUCUCCUGGGGCUUUGGUUCAUCAAUAUUACACAGUUCAUAAUCACUUAUUUUCUGUCGAAUCCCAUGUAAAGAUCUAAAAUCACUCUGAAGACAUUUUAAAAUUAUUCAUCCCAGUCCUUUUGUGCUAUAUGUGCACGUCACUCACCUGAUUUUACAGGAGAGAUGGAGGCGUCCAGACCUGCAGCACUUUUGGGUAGGUCAAGAGGGAGGACCAGUGGCAGGUCAGAGUUGUUUGUGGUGAUUCCCCAGAGUUUCAAGUACGAGAACACCUUUGCCUUCAGGUUUAUCCUGCUAACGUUAUUCAUGAGAAGCUUCAAACACGACUCUGCUGGUGCUGCUCUCUUCAGAUCUUGGUUCCCUGAAGAUGUCUCAUCCAAAUAUGGUCCCGAGCCAAAACUGUGGGACUCAGAUCUUCACAAAUGUGAUUAACUUCACUAGUGUGAGUCGUCCCAUUGGGAUUCUUCACUGUAGCACAGAUAAAUGUGUGUAAUUGCAGAAUUGAGGCCUUAGGCUGUGAGAAGUGAAGAAAUCACAGCUUGGGGUGGUAUAUCCAUUGUUUCUUUGUGGGAGGUUUUGUAUUAAUAGUCAAUUAAUUAAAUGUGUCAAACAAAUAAAGCUUUAAAUAUUUCGAGAUUAGGAGGUCCCUAAUAAAAAAUUUACUUGAAAAAAAAGGAAGAUUCCCUGAUCACUACAGCGGCAUUCAGUUAUUCAAAAUAAAAUAGGUAGGGUAAUAUAGACAGAUAGCGAAGUACUUCGUGUUUAGCCUGUCAGAAUUCCGUCAGAAUAGCUGUUGAUGUACGUCACAAUGCUGAGGAGAGGAAGAGCCUCGUCAUCUGCCCAGACUCCCCUGCCUUGUACUUUAUUUGAGCACUUCACUGUUUGCAGAAGCUGUCCCAGGCAAAUGCUGUGAUUUAUUUGUUUAGAGAUGUUUUUUUGGAAAAUGAAAGAUGUAAUGAACGGCCAAUCUGCUGUAGCAUGUCAUUAACUGCCGUGUCUGAUUAAUUUUGAAGCUGAAUAAUUUUUGACAGCUGCCAAUUUGGUACACAUACCACGGGCUGGGCUGGGGAGCCGCGGAGCUGGGAAGGGACGGCAGCCCGGGCAGCGGCUCCACCUGCGUGGCAGCACCUCCGCACCCCACGGGGACCACGUUCCUAUUUACCGGGGAAUAGGUGGGUCAACCUGAGGUCAUCCCAAGCAUCUGAGACCCACAUUUGUUUUUAUCCUAAAUAAACCCUUGCUUACAAAUCAGUGGAGGUGUCCAUGCUGUUUUCGAAGCUAUGAGUUGAACUUUGAACUGCUUGGUUUCCAUAUCAUAUUAUCAGUAACACUGUUGCUUAUCGUCACAACUCAUUUAUUAUUUGUGUUUCUGUUCAAGUUUAUUUGGGUGUGAAGAGAAGAUUAUGUGUUCAGGGUUUUGCCCAGAAUUCUGCCAUGUAAGUACAAUGUCCAGUAAAUGUAAAUAUUGUUAUUUUUAUUACUUCAUGUUAUUGCUAUUGUGAUGGGAAUGGAAGGAUUUAGUUCUGAAAUACGGUACUUCACACACACUGAGAGGCAACUGACCUGAACUGGGAAGAAGGCAGAAAUGCCAUCUCUUUUGAAUUAAUUAUGAACCACACAGCUCUUGCUAUUAUCUGUUUACACAUUGUUGGCCUUGUGAUGUGCUGGUGAGAGAUUUCCUUUCACUGUCUGGUCCAAACAUACAUUAAGUCCAAUUUCAUUAAAAAGACGGCUUGCUCUCCUUGUUGAAAGGGUCGUUGUGUCAGUUAUUACAGUGUUUUCUUUGUGCUCGCUUUCCCUAAAUUCCAGUAACUGUUUUGUAGAAAAGUUUGCAAGUGAACUUUUGAUGCCCGUCAAAGCUGCUUCAUUGACUUUAUUGGCUCCAGAGCCUGAAGCUCUUUAUCCGCAGAGAUCUUUAAAAAGAACAUUAAAAAGUUUCAGCCAAAGCUUAUAGAAUUUGGUACUUAUGGUUAAGUAUUAUAGACCCAAUGCUGUUCCCAUGGAGACCUAAAAGAAUUUUUCCAUUGAAUUGGUAGCAAAACAUACCCUCUAUUAAGUGGGAAAAUGAGCAGACUGGAGAACUCAGUUUGUUGUUCCCAGUUUUGUUUGCAUGCUUGCUCUUUUGUAUACAGAAAUAAAGAAGGAGAAAUUAUA